UCAUCUGGUAUAGCGUCUGUU
rnacentral:siRNA from 1 species